rnacentral:lncRNA from 1 species
CUGCGGCCUGAAGAUGCCUGAGGCCCGGACUCUCAGACCCCUAUUGCCCUUUGGUGCUGGAGGCCCAGCGGCAGCCUGAAGCCCAAGAGAGUGGAGCCUCGCGAAAUGAGGAACCUGGCACAAGGUUUGCUUGGAAGCAGGAACGACGGAGUGUGGCUACGUGCCCUAUUUGCCAUUAACGCUUUCUUGCAUGGCAGUGAGAGAUGAGGGCAAGGGAGGUGGCAUAAUGCUCCCGGCCGCUUGGGACUCGGAGAGACGGCAUUUAAUAAAUCACACGCGGUAUUUGCGAAACAGUGGUCGAGAUUCGUCUUCCCGGGUUCAUUGCGUCAUUAAUAGGCGGGAACAGUGCCCCUGUGUUGAGGCUGCAGAGGCCCUAAUUGGUUUUCCCAAGACAGAGGGGCAUAUGAGAUUGAACAAAUAUUUGUUGAAUGAAUGAACAAAGGGAACGCCUUUUAGGGAUGUUUCUGGGGGAAAGGCCUGAGGUUCUCCAGGAGGGUCUGCAGCUAGGGUCGGCCGUGGGGGCUCGCAGCCCGCGGGACCACCGGACCUGCAAGCGUCCCCCUGCCCCGCCCCCGCCUCGGCGCUCUGAGCAAUUGGACUCUGCCAGCUCUAACUCCGGCGGGACUCUGAAACUCAGGCAAGAGCCGAGGUGUUCUGGACUUGGAAGAUUUGUUGAAUUACUAUGAAGUCACAUCUAAAGUUUGAAAGAGAUCGGGUCUCACUAUUUUGCCCACGCUGGUCUUGAACUCCUGUCCUCAAGCAGGAUAUCCUCCUGCCUUGGCCUCCCAAAGUUCUGGGAUUACAGCUGCUGUGUGUGAAAACCUGACUCCAGUCCUCCCAGCCUCUAGGACCCUGCCCAGACCUGGCCUACCUUCUUCCUCACCGCCACUGGAAAAAAACAGACGUCAAAAGCCUUAACAAAAUACUGUCUGAUAUAGCAAAAUGGAACAUGUUUCCUACUAGAAGUAUAUGACCCGAAGGGGGAAAAAUCUGACUCAUUUUAAAAACAAUUGUUAGGGGUGUGUGUGUUUUGAGAGAAAGAAAUAGAAAAGGGCCAAUGUAUUUGCUAUUAAAAAAAUCUUCAAAAUAACAGAAAAAAUUUAAAACUAUGUACUCAAAAAAUGAAUUGCUUUUGUCGUAUUAGAAGUCUAGCCAACAGAAGUAAGGGGAUGGAGACUGAACCAACCAGAGGAGAAAAGGUGGAAGGCGCUGCCCCAGCAGAGACCAGAACAGGGCCAGAUAAAGUUAGGGUCAAAGAUCCACACCCUGUUUGGAAACUAAGCAAUCAACAAGUGUCAGUUGUUAUUUAGGUGCACCAAACAUUUUGGGGGGAAAUGUGAUUUCAGACACAGAUAAUUAUAUGAUAGGGGCCUAUUUGGCUUUCAGAGAAAAUUUUCAAGAUAAAUCAGUAGCUUUAAAUAAAAAUCUAAGUUUGUAAUCAAAGUUUUUCAGAAAUAGCAGAGAAACAUAUUUUCCUUUAAGUAGUUCUCUGUUAAUAGUCUCUAGUCUCAAGCAGUUUUAAUUUUAAAUAGGACUACCUCUAACUUUGUGGGGUCUGGGGCAAGGGUACAAAUAGAGGCCCAUACAGCAUAUACCUAGAUAUUUAAUUUUUUGUUUGUUUGUUUUUUGAGAUGGAGUCUUGCUCUGUCACCCAGG